rnacentral:lncRNA from 10 species
UAGGAUAAUGGCCUCAAGCUCCAUCCAUGUUGCUGCAAAAGACAUGAUCACAUUAUUUUUUAUGGCUACAUAGUAUUCCAUCGUAUAUAUGUACCACAUUAAACUAAAGAGCCUCUGCACAGCAAGAAAGCUAUCAACAGAGUAAACAGACAAUCAACAGAAUGCGAGAAGAUAUUUACAAAUCAUGUAUCCAACAAAGGUCUACUAUCCAUAAUUUAAAGGAACUUAAAUAAAUUAAGCAAAAAACAAAAAAACCCAUUAAAAAGUGGGCAAAGGAAUAGACACUUUUCAAAUGAAGACAUACAUGUGGCUAGCAAGCCUAUGAAAAAAUUCUUAGCAUCACUGAUCAUUAGAGAAAAGUAAAUCAAAACCGUAAUGAAAUACUAUCUCACACCAGUCAAAACCACAAUGAAAUACCAUCUAACACUAUCUCACCAACCUCAGUAGCAUCUGUUAAAAAAUAACAGAUGCUGGCAAGGUUGCAGAGAAAGGGGAAUACUUAUACACUGCUGAGGGAAAGGUAAAUUAGUAAAGCCAUUGUGGAAAGUAGUUUGGCGAUUUGUCAAAGAACUUAAAACAGAAUUAUCAUUCAACCCAGAAAUCCCAUUAUUGGGUAUUAUUGGGUAUUCGCAAAGGAAUAUAAAUCAUUCUACCAUAAAGACACAUGCACAUGUAUGUUCAUCAUAGCACUAUUUCACAAUAGCAAAAACAUGGAAUCAACCUAAAUGUCCUGCUUCUUUUUAUAAGGAAACUAAUCCAAUAAUGAAGGAUCCAUUUUCAUAACCUAAUAACCUCCCUAAAACCCUAUCUAAAAAUACCAUCACAUUGGAGAUUACGGUUUCAACAUAUGGAUUUUGAGGGGAACCCAAACAUUUAGUCCACAGCAAUAGUAUCAGAAGACAUAGAUCACUGAUUUUAAGAUGGGCACAUACCAAUUAAAAAUAUUUGAACUCUGGGAGCCCAUACCCUAAUACAGAAUCCACAUCUUAGGACAGCACACCUGACAUCAGAAAGAUCACACUAUGCCCUAGGACUAUACAGUCUUCCUUUAUCUAUAUGCAUGCUGUAUGUCAGAAAAGAGUUUUCAUUUGUGGAUUUAAUUGCUCGUGAAUCAACUCGAUGAAUGUCAGAAAUAGGCUUUUACUGUAAAAAGUAUUCAAGAUAUGGAGACUAAAAAUAUGUAUCAAAGAGUUUUCUCACACUUCCAUGAAAACCUCAUUAUAAACAUCUAUGAAGUCUUGCUCUUUUAUCCACGGGGAUACUGCUUGAGGAUAAAUCCCCGGAGCUUCUAGCUGUGAACUGCGGGAUUCUGGUUGCUGAUGCCAGCCACGCGGAGUAGUCCCUACAUUUGGAAUCCCAGCUUGAAUAAACUCUCUGUGAAAGACUUGGAGGGCCUUGAGUCUGCAAG